rnacentral:pre_miRNA from 1 species
AUUCUACUCCCUCCGUCCGAAAAUACUUAUCAUCAAAAUGGACAAAAAGGAAUGUAUCUAGAACUAAAAUACAUCUAGAUACAUCCCCUUUUAUUUAUUUUGAUGACAAGUAUUUCCGGACGGAGGGAGUAUUUG